ensembl:piRNA 21ur-11831 ncRNA
UUUUUAUAUUAACGAAAAAAG